GAAUGCUGACAUAAGUAACGAUAAAGCGGGUGAAAAGCCCGCUCGCCGGAAGACCAAGGGUUCCUGUCCAACGUUAAUCGGGGCAGGGUGAGUCGACCCCUAAGGCGAGGCCGAAAGGCGUAGUCGAUGGGAAACGGGUUAAUAUUCCCGUACUUGGUGUUACUGCGAAGGGGGGACGGAGAAGGCUAUGUUGGCCGGGCGACGGUUGUCCCGGUUUAAGCGUGUAGGUGUGUGUUCCAGGUAAAUCCGGUUCACUUUAACACUGAGGCGUGACGACGAGGCACUACGGUGCUGAAGCAACAAAUGCCCUGCUUCCAGGAAAAGCCUCUAAGCAUCAGGUAACAUCAAAUCGUACCCCAAACCGACACAGGUGGUCAGGUAGAGAAUACCAAGGCGCUUGAGAGAACUCGGGUGAAGGAACUAGGCAAAAUGGUGCCGUAACUUCGGGAGAAGGCACGCUGACACGUAGGUGAAGUGAUUUACUCAUGGAGCUGAAGUCAGUCGAAGAUACCAGCUGGCUGCAACUGUUUAUUAAAAACACAGCACUGUGCAAACACGAAAGUGGACGUAUACGGUGUGACGCCUGCCCGGUGCCGGAAGGUUAAUUGAUGGGGUCAGCGCAAGCGAAGCUCCUGAUCGAAGCCCCGGUAAACGGCGGCCGUAACUAUAACGGUCCUAAGGUAGCGAAAUUCCUUGUCGGGUAAGUUCCGACCUGCACGAAUGGCGUAAUGAUGGCCAGGCUGUCUCCACCCGAGACUCAGUGAAAUUGAACUCGCUGUGAAGAUGCAGUGUACCCGCGGCAAGACGGAAAGACCCCGUGAACCUUUACUAUAGCUUGACACUGAACAUUGAGCCUUGAUGUGUAGGAUAGGUGGGAGGCUUUGAAGUGUGGACGCCAGUCUGCAUGGAGCCGACCUUGAAAUACCACCCUUUAAUGUUUGAUGUUCUAACGUGGACCCGUUACCCGGGUUGCGGACAGUGUCUGGUGGGUAGUUUGACUGGGGCGGUCUCCUCCUAAAGAGUAACGGAGGAGCACGAAGGUUGGCUAAUCCUGGUCGGACAUCAGGAGGUUAGUGCAAUGGCAUAAGCCAGCUUGACUGCGAGCGUGACGGCGCGAGCAGGU
rnacentral:rRNA from 2 species